UGGGGAAUAUUGCACAAUGGGGGAAACCCUGAUGCAGCUAUGCCGCGUGUGUGAAGAAGGCCUUCGGGUUGUAAAGCACUUUCAGUUGUGAGGAAAAGUUAGUAGUUAAUACCUGCUAGCCGUGACGUUAACAACAGAAGAAGCACCGGCUAACUCCGUG
rnacentral:rRNA from 1 species